CUCGGGGGGUCACGUGAACCCCAGUGAAAUUUUUCCGCUAGAUUUAGCGGAGAAACUGUCCCGCUAGAUUUAGCGGGGAAAUUUUUCUGCUAGAUUUAGCGGGGAAAAAUUUCCGCUAAAUUUAGCGGGGAAAUGUUUUCCGCUAGAUUUAGCAGUGAAAUUUUCCCGCUAGAUUUAGCGGGGAAAAUUCUUUGCUAAAUU
rnacentral:SRP_RNA from 1 species